GAUGAAGAACGCAGCGAAAUGCGAUAAGUAGUGUGAAUUGCAUAAUUCAGUGAAUCAUCGAAUCUUUGAACGCACAUUGCGCCCCUUGGUAUCCCGAGGGGCAUGCCUGUUCGAGCGUCAUUUCACCACUCAAGCCUGGCUUGGUGUUGGGCGACGUCCCCUUUGGGGACGCGCCUCGAAACGCUCGGCGGCGUGGCACCGGCUUUAAGCGUAGCAGAAUCUUUCGCUUUGGAAGUCGGGGCCCCGUCUGCCGGAAGACCUACUCGCAAGGUUGACCUCGGAUCAGGCAGGGAUACCCGCUGAACUUAAGCAUAUCAAUAAGCGGAGGA
rnacentral:misc_RNA from 1 species